UGAGAAGGAUCCUUCCUUUUCUUCUAAGGAC
rnacentral:piRNA from 1 species